CCAUCCAAAAGGGGCAAACCUUCGUCCAUCGUUGGAUUGGAUUGCUGCAGUGAUUCUCCAAUCCCACUUUUCACCACAGCCGUCCGAUCUGUCAUUUUUUUUCUCACUCGCUCAGCAUUCCCAUGAAGUCCAUGACGCAUGGGGCCAACUACGUGCAAGGCCCGACGGUCAGAGACAGCCACGGAUGCUCGUUCUCGUCGCCUUCGGUCUCCAACCACGCAGGAUGGUGAAAACCUAGAUCGGGAGUGCCCGAUUCACUCCCCAAUCCCCGUCCAUCCGCUCCUCCCCAAUCCCAUCUCUCCUCCUCCCCAACCAUGGCGGCGCGCUCGUUCCUCCAGCCUUCCACCCGCGGCUGCAUCCCGACGACAGCGGUUGGAUGGCGACGCGUGGCGGCGCGCAGGGACGGCCAGAUCGUGGUGGGCGGCGGAUUUCGAGCGCAGGCGACGGCGACCUUGAGCGGUGGGUUCAAUCCCACCUCGCGAUUGCCGGCGUCCUUACAGGUUUGCAGCGGGAUCCUGGGCCGCGCACUGCUGGGAGUCGAACUGCGGCGGCGCCGGAGCCGGAGCCGCGAGUCGCCGUCGAGCGUGUCCUUUCCUCUCCUCUAGCCCACACAGCCUCCAUCUUCUUCUUCCUCCCGCACAUAAGUGACGGACACGGAUGGCGGCGGCCCAGCGACGGUAGCCUCCCUCUGGAUCUUCUCUCGUUGCCCUCUUGUUGAAGCCACCGAGGGGGACAAAGGCCGCGUACCCAAGACAACGCGCUCACAGUGGCGCAGAUCCCCCUGUUGCCUGGUGCCGGCAGUAUGUUGCCCUGUCCCUUUCGGUUGGGUUGGCCGGCGGGAGCGAGUGAAAGGGGAUCGUGAGGGGGUAGUGCACUGCAGGUAAGCUUGCAGGGGAAGAAAUUCGAUGGAGAGGAGCUCACACAGAGAGGUUACGCAAUAUUUACAUUACAUUUCCUUGCUGAUGAGCGACACUAGCCUAAUGAUCUACUAUAAUGAGUCCUGCACGCUGCGAUCGUAGAAGUCGUGAAGGCCUUUGGUGUCUCUUCCUUUCCAUGAUCCGUGAAGCUCAGCUGGUGGCACCAUGGUAUAGGAGUAUGUGAGUUGUUGCCUCCUUCCAGUUCUUGCUACAGAAGUUUGAAAGAUGGUUCCAGAAGCUAAGGUUCAACUUGUGGCUGACACGGAGCUAUACUAUGAUACAUCGAAUUCUGUCGCCUACUCGCCUACUCUACAUUGUGCAAACCGCGAGCACCACCGCUGGAUCAACAAGAAUCCAGACAUGCCACAUGAAGGAAAGUUUGCUAAAGCUCUUUAAUUGGGACGGUGGGAUCUGCUUUGUUUUCCCUUCUUGGGUUCUCCUUUUAUAAUCUUGGGUGCCAGCAUAUCAAAGACAGUCUAUGUACUUUCCCGAGAAUGAAAUGCUGUUAUAUUUAUGGGUUCUUGUCUGGGUGCCAUGAUUUAACUUUCUUUGCACUAUCUCUUACCAGUGUUUGUUCUUUCUCAGGUUGUGAGGCCUGAGUUUUUGACUUGCACCUUUGGCAGGUCAUUGAAAUCAGAACCCCGUCAACUCUGAAGCGGCUGGUACAUCAAUUUCUAUAACUCACAGAAUUCCCUACUUCAAUUGCACAUGCAUGCUUGAUGGAUAUGAGGAUAUCUUGUACGAGUUAACGAAUUCUAGCAUUAAGUCGUACUUCCUGAAGACGUAGUUGAUUAUGAAACUCAGACACUGUAACCUUAGACCAGAUCAGAAGCAACAUUUGUACAUGCCCCAUUCCAGAAUAUGCAGAGAAGAUGAUCGCUGCAAUUGAUGAAGUACGAGUUGAUAGAAAUUAGAUUGGUGGGACGGUCACAUGUAUUGCGAGAAAUGUUCCUCGUGCUCGGGAAUGAUAUACAAUUAUGUUGGGUACUUGCUGUGGGAUUUUUCACCUUUCGUGUACCUGGUGGCUUUGCCUUGGCGCUACCAUUGUCGUUGAGGAUGCAGGACAUGGUGGUGGUUCCACUGGAUCCAGCACGGUAUUCGGUUCAGCACUUGUUCUAUGUUAUUAAUGUACUGGCAAAUAUUCACCAAUUGAUGUGAGAAACAUUGACUACUGUUAUUAAUGUGAUUUAGCGACUCUUAAUUUCAAUGCGUUUUGCUUUGCAUAUUUUUUCUGUUUUUUCUAUUUAGAGAUGGUGAACUAAAGUUUUUCCCUGCCCCACUAUUCAUUUGCUAUUGUAGAUUUGUGAAUAUUUACACCAAUAUAUUUACUAUGAUUCUCUGUAUGAUUUUUUUAGCUAGCUUGCUCCAUUUUAAUUUUUUCUUCCAGUGCGUUGCUCUCACUUGUUCAGGUAGCUGUCCUUCCUUUGCCUGUCUUCUUCAUAUUCUAGAUCUGAAAUCUAUGUCAUAAGCAUUAAGAGCUACACAGAGAUUUCAGUAUAUAUGCAUUAAGCCAUAAUCAGGGUAGAUGCAUACAAAUAUAAUGUGAUCAUAGAACAGCAUGCAGAUUUAUUUUGUUAGAUAAAUCUAGCGACUUGAUUGCAUGCCUCUAAUGAGCUCAAAUACAUGUGAGCCGCUAGAUUGAAAAGUCCCACGAUCAUAUGUCGGUUUGUCCAUUUCGCCAGUACUAAACGUGCAUUGGAUCAUCCGUUUACUUUUGUAGAACUGGCUUACUGUGACAAAAGUUAGGUUACCUUUGC